UACGGGGGAGGCGAGCGUUGUUCGGAAUUACUGGGUGUAAAGGGCGUGUAGGCGGGCUAAUAAGUCAUUCGUGUAAUGCCAGGGCUUAACCCUGGAGCGGCGAGUGAUACUGCUAGUCUUGAGUGGGGGAGAGGAUGUCGGAAUACCCGGUGUAGCGGUGAAAUGCGUAGAUAUCGGGUAGAACACCAGUAGCGAAGGCGGACAUCUGGCCCCUAACUGACGCUGAGGCGCGAAAGCGUGGGGAG
rnacentral:rRNA from 1 species